rnacentral:rRNA from 1 species
AGUGAACGCUGGCGGUAGGCCUAACACAUGCAAGUCGAACGGCAGCACAGUAAGAGCUUGCUCUUACGGGUGGCGAGUGGCGGACGGGUGAGGAAUACAUCGGAAUCUACUUUUUCGUGGGGGAUAACGUAGGGAAACUUACGCUAAUACCGCAUACGACCUACGGGUGAAAGCAGGGGAUCUUCGGACCUUGCGCGAUUGAAUGAGCCGAUGUCGGAUUAGCUAGUUGGCGGGGUAAAGGCCCACCAAGGCGACGAUCCGUAGCUGGUCUGAGAGGAUGAUCAGCCACACUGGAACUGAGACACGGUCCAGACUCCUACGGGAGGCAGCAGUGGGGAAUAUUGGACAAUGGGCGCAGGCCUGAUCCAGCCAUACCGCGUGGGUGAAGAAGGCCUUCGGGUUGUAAAGCCCUUUUGUUGGGAAAGAAAAGCGGCAGGUUAAUACCCCGCUGUUCUGACGGUACCCAAAGAAUAAGCACCGGCUAACUUCGUG